AUGCCAGAAUCUCAGUUCCCAGAAUCGCUGUUGGCAACGUACAGCACUAAUAACGCUAUGGAAAUAAGCGAAUCAGAGACUCUAAUUUGUUGCCUUUUUCAUAGCAAAUCCAACAAACCCAACACAAAUCAAUUGCUUGUUCGUUCAUCUAAACACUUCAACAAAAACACCCAUCUAAAAAAGACAACAACUUUACCCAAAAUCAACACAAAAUUUUCAUCAAUGAAAAUAAGAAGGCUCAGAGUGUAA
rnacentral:lncRNA from 1 species